rnacentral:misc_RNA from 1 species
GAUGAAGAACGUAGCGAAAUGCGAUAAGUAGUGUGAAUUGCAGAAUUCAGUGAAUCAUCGAAUCUUUGAACGCACAUUGCGCCCCUUGGUAUUCCAUGGGGCAUGCCUGUUCGAGCGUCAUUUGUACCUUCAAGCUUUGCUUGGUGUUGGGUGUUUGUCCCUCGGGACUCGCCUUAAAGUCAUUGGCAGCCAGUGUUUUGGUUUUGAAGCGCAGCACAAGUCGCGAUUCAAGGCUAUCCGCCCGCUUCCACAAGCCUUUUUCACUUUUGACCUCGGAUCAGGUAGGGAUACCCGCUGAACUUAAGCAUAUCAAAAGCGGAGGA